rnacentral:tRNA from 1 species
GCGUUCGUGGCUCAAUGGAUAGAGCAACUGACUUCGGAUCAGUAGGUUGGGAGUUCGAGUCUCUCCGAGCGCACCA